rnacentral:lncRNA from 13 species
AUGUCAAGCAUUGUCUUUAUUAUAAUACAUUUCUACCUUGCAGGUUUGGCUGGCCGCACCAGGAGCUGGGUACAAAAAAAAUGGAGGCAGAAGAAAGUUUGCCCCAGUGAAAAUGAAGCUCCUGUUCAAGACCCAAAGGAGUGUACAACUAAAAAGCUUGAGGAAGAGACAUCACCUGACAUAGAACAUGCUACAGGUGAAUAUCACCACAUUUCUGUUGACGACCCAGAAGAGUAUAUACAUGAGCAUGAGGAGGAGGAGGUGGCGUCUGACACGGAGAAGCCUGCGGCCCAGUAUCACCAACGUCCUGUGGAGGUCCUACAGGAACUCAUAUUAGAAGACAUCAAAGAAAAUGAGCUACCCCGUCAUGUGGAGAAGCCUGUGGCCCAGUAUCACCUCCGUCCUGUGGAGGUCUUACAGGACCUUAUAUUAGAUGACAUCAAAGACCAUGAGCUACCCCGUGACGUGGACAUCGUGACAGCCCCAAAUGACCUCUCUCCUUCUGAGGAUAGCAGGAGCAUCACUUCUGAGGAUGAUGGUGAGAGUUCAUCACUUGCUGUUUAUGAUCAACAAGAGUACCCUGCAGCAUGUCCCCGUAUGAAACCCUUUCGGAGAUUUUUCCCGGUUACCUCAGAAGAGUCAUCUUCACUUACCCAAAGGAUCAAAUCUCUUCUAGCAGAAAACUUUCCUGGGAUAAAUUCGUCAGAAGAAGUUAUAGCCGUUUACAAGGGACACUCAACUUUAUUGGAUGACGAACUGGAUCGCUCCAUUGCAGGCAGCCAUCAGCAGGUGGAAGAAAGUUCUAAGCCUGCAGAAAAAGCAACAAAGAAGCUGAAGGUGAAGAAGGAAAGGAAAACCAGUAAGCCCAGGAAGAAGACCAGGCGGCAUGCCCAGAACAUUUUGGACAUUUGUAAAAUAUGUUAGAAACCUCUGAAGGCAAGUAAAGGAUGCCCUGAGAACAUUUUCCAGGAACAGACACCCACUCCAUAGCAUCAGCCUUCUGGGCUGAGCCCUCCACAGGCUACUUAGUGAGGGAGAUGCUGAGGUGCCAGUUGGGCCACCAUGUGUGGGAUUCUGAGGGCUGUGCACCAUGUUAUUUUUCUGCAGUAACACUUAAACUCACCAACAUCUCAUCUGGGGGGAUGCAGCUCUGUCCUCCAAUCCCCUGGAAGCCAACAGGGAGCAUCGCUAGUUUAUUCUGAGGAGACAGUAGGGUUGACCCUGAAUCCCCCUGGUUCAGGCCUUCUGGGAAAGGUGUGAGAGGG